CAGCUGACGGGGGUAUAUGACACGUUCACCUUUUCACCGGGCAUUAGGCCUCUGUAAAAAAGACACAGCUGAUGGGGGUAUAUGUUGGGCAUCAGUCAUCUGUAAAAAAAGACAAAGCUGACGGGGGUAUAUGUCGGGCAUCAGUCAUCUGUAAAAAAAGACACAG